rnacentral:rRNA from 1 species
UACGUAGGGGCCUAGCGUUGUCCGGAUUUAUUGGGCGUAAAGAGCUCGUAGGCGGCUUGGUGAGUCGGGUGUGAAAUCUCCACGCUCAACGUGGAGGGGCCACCCGAUACUGCCAUGACUAGAGUCCGGUAGGGGAGUGUGGAAUUCCCGGUGUAGCGGUGAAAUGCGCAGAUAUCGGGAGGAACACCGGUGGCGAAGGCGGGUCUCUGGGCCGAUACUGACGCUGAGGAGCGAAAGCGUGGGGAGCGAACAGG